rnacentral:rRNA from 1 species
UACGAAGGGGGCUAGCGUUGCUCGGAAUUACUGGGCGUAAAGCGCGCGUAGACGGUUUUGUAAGUCAGAUGUGAAAUCCCUGGGCUCAACCUGGGAACUGCAUUUGAGACUGCAUGGCUAGAGUAUGGAAGAGGGAAGUGGAAUUUCCGGUGUAGCGGUGAAAUGCGUAGAUAUCGGAAGGAACACCAGUGGCGAAAGCGACUUCCUGGUCCAAUACUGACGUUCAUGUGCGAAAGCGUGGGGAGCAAACAGG